rnacentral:misc_RNA from 1 species
GCGAAACAGCAUUAAUGGAAUAUGGCCGACUCAGAGGGUGGUUUCUCUUCGUAUUGAAAAAAUAUGUCAGGUCCCAAUGAGUAAAUCAAGUCAAGUGCUACUUUCUCAUUUUCUCAGUAUUUUUCAGUUUCUACCCAUGUGGACGUGCAAAUGUAGCAUUUGAAAAAUGGCAACUCCAAAGACCUUCAUUCCAAUGGUCUCAGCCUCUCCGCCUCCAUUAGAUGGCUUUGAUGAUGAUGAAGAUGAUGAUUUUGGCUCCUUUGCUAGUGCCGGCUUCUCACCAGAAAAGGCAAAACCGGUGGCACCAAGUGAUACCCACUUCUUCCCCAUCAAGGAAGACCCUCAAGACGACGACCAAGAAUUUGGUAGCUUUGCAACUUCUGAUUCCAGCAGCCGGACUGAGCUGUCGCACAAAAAUGCUGAAAAUGUAGUUGAUACCAAUGACGAAAAUCUCAAGUUUGGAUCAUUCCCAGUGUCAAGAACACAGAGCGCUAGUCUUGUCAAGGAGGAAAGCAACUCCAAUUUUACAUCAUUCCAUGGAUUCACGAAUGGAGCAGAUUCUAAUGAGAAUGACAGUUCAUGGGGGGACUUCACAAAUUCUUCCCAUCUCCAGAUUGAUGUCAUAGGUGAUAAUAGCAGUGAAUCAGAGAGCCAACAUCUCCCAUCCAUACAUCUACAAAGCUCAAGCUCUCAAGAUCCAGCAUCCCAGGAAACUAGAGAAAACCAUGAAGCCACCGAUGAUCUCAACCGAAAUAGUGAGCGUACGAAUUCCUCCAACUCUUACAGUGAUGAUGCUGGCAUGGAUUUCCCUUCUCCAUUCACAUCAGAUUCCCCUUCACAAGAUACAGACUCUUCUGAUUUUCAGUCAUUUCGAUCAGCCAAAACAGAGGGCUCAAAUGUUCCUUGCAAGAGAAAGACUGCUGAAUUGUCCGACAGCAGAACGGUUGACUUCAAAAGUCAUCUUGAAGAGUUACCCAAGCCAAAUUCAAGAGAAAACCUAAGAGGUGAGCAUUUUAACACAGAGUUAAAAAAUGGCAGUGAGUCACUCCAAACAGGCGAGGUUAAAAACCUAAGCGAGGAUGAAUUUGGAGACUUCAGUUCAGUCAGUGCCCAGGAGGAGCAAAUCAGAAAUGUGGCACCGUCUCAGACCUCGAACCUAAGCCACCAGUCACUGGCCUCAGAGUGUGCCAAAUCAGAUCUUGAAAGGCAAGACUCCCAGUAUUCAGUUGAACAUGGGUCAAAAGCUUCUGACACCCUAAAUGAUGACUGGGGAAAUUUUGACAGUAUGCCUGCCAGUACUACUGAGCCUACAAUGAAGGAAACUGAAAUUCACAGCCAAGUCACCCCACACAAAGGGGACAACAAUGACUUCAAUGACUUCAAGUCGUUUGGUGAGAGGCCAUUGUCCAGUGCUAAGAAACCGAUCAACAGUACUUCCCCAGCCCACAAAGAUGGUAGUUUUGACGGGUUUGGGACUUUUCACACAAGCUCUUCCACUAUACAAGAAACAGAACCCACCUACCUGAAUCUAGCCCCUCCCCGUCAGGUAAGCCCACCCUCUGCCUCAACUCUGGAAGAGGAUGAUUUUGGUGAUUUUGGAACCUUCCAGGAAGGAAGCACUAAGCAGGCAGGGCCCCCAGUGGUGGGGAAAUUUCAUGUAGUCAGUGGAAGUCAGGAAGAUGUCCCAUCCGACUUCAGCUCGGCCUUUGGUGCAGUCUCAGCAUCUUCAUCACAGGCCCACGGCAGUAAGGUGGACAGGGUAUUCAAGACAUGUUUCCCCAGCAACGGGUCACCUCUAGCGGCUAGUCUGGUUGUGGACCUGCUGAUUGACAUCGUAGUCAAGGGACAGCAGGAGACAGAGGAUAACACUCCAAUGUCGGACUCCGGCAAGCGAGAUGCCAGUAGGAGGAAUGAGCAAGGCAACGUGUGGAACUGCCUGAGGGACUUGGAGCGAACCAACGCGCUGGGUUACCAGUGGGCCAAGUCAGGUAACAGCAAGCAACUCUUGGGAUCUCUAGGAGUGGACUCUAGGAACAUUCUGGCCUCUAAGAAGGCUGGGAUGCCCAUCUUUGCACCCAACUUGGGGAUGUUGAUGCCGAGCAAGCCUGGAGAGAAGCAAGAGAAGCCAGCUGUCAUGGGCAGUGGCGGCGCGGUGGAGGACAACCCCGAGGGAGAGCAAGGAUCCACCCCUGCUGGUACACCAGAGGACGCAGUUCCUAAGGUUGAAUUUGACUGGAGUAAUAGUGGCCUGACUAAUCCAUUGGAUGCCAAUGGUCUUAACCUGGAUAUCUUUAGCAAGGAAGGGAGCACCUCAGCUAAUCAUUUUGUCUCCAAACCCAAACAUAAGUCAGCGCCGCCGUUGGAUCCAGAAAUCCUCAAACUGGAGAAGUCGGGCCCUGCCCAACCCCUCCCGGUCCAGAAGGCCCACAAGCCGCUGGACGCCAUCCUGAAGAGCUCGGCCACCUCCAUGGUCCAACAGCGUAGCCAGCGGGAGGCCGGCCUGAGCAGCGAGGCUCACCGUGUCCUAGAUGGCCUGCCUAGCCUGUCCUUCAUGCAUGCCAAGGUGCUGAUGUUCCCCAUGCGGCCCCUGGAGGGGGGCACCACAACUGGUGGCGCACCCUCGCAGGGCUCCCUCUUGUGAUUUCUGGCCUGUACAGGGAAGAAAGACUUGGAGAUCCUGUUCCUCUUCAUAUCUGAGAGGGUGUUGUCAUGGCCAGCUGCUGGAUUCCCCUAGGGACUCUGGGAGUGAACUGCAUCAGGUGUGAUCUUGCUCAGCAAGGAGGCAGUGUGAAGCUUAUGGGCAUUUCCCUGGUACAGAAUGCAUACCAGGAAAGUCAGUAAUCCAUCUAAUAACAAGCUGAGGAUGUUGGUUUCCGGUCCUUCAGGAACAUUGUGGAAUUUGAAAGCAAAGUGUGUCCUAAGCCAUUUGGCCCAUCAUGUUGGUGUUUAUCUUUGGUUUCAUUGACAUAGAAUGAUUGACAAUAUUUCUGUUCCUCCCAGGAUUGGGUGCCAGCCCAUCACAGGUGGCUCCCCAAUGAUAAUGCUAGAACCCAUUUAUACUCCUGGGUGGAGAGAGGCAAACAGAGGUGAGGUGACUUAGGCCACAACAUACUAAGGCCACAACAUACUGCCAGCAGUUGGAUUCAAACCCCCCACCUGUGAUCAGAAGCUACAGACCCUAAACAGUAGGCAAUACACCCCCAAAAUUUGAGAAGGGAAGUGUGGGAACUAGUGCGAACUUGGAGCUCUUAUCUCGCUGGUUCCCAUGCGCUUGUUAACACACCUGAAGAAUUACUGCGUACCACUGAAAUGUCCUUUAUUGGCAGCAGUGUUUAGCACUAAGUAACCAGUGAGCUGAAUCCACAUGGGUAAUCUGGUUGAUUGCAUGUACAGUGCUCAGCUUUCACAAUCAUCACUUGACCAUCUUAGCAACACAAAUGUUAAGCCGAAGUACAUGUAACAAGCAUUUGAAUUUCACUUUUUUCCUGUGAUUUCAAGGAGCUGCACAGUAUUGUCACCCACAUGUAGUCACAAGACGUGCCACUUUAUCUGCACUGAGCCUUUUACAUUUUCUUUCCUUAUGCAUCAAUUGCGCCAAUAGAAUCAUGCAGAUAAGAGUAGCAGUUUGAGAGUGGUAGUUCAGUGCAGUUUUUAACCGUAGUGCAGUGGACUAUAGGCACAGAUUCAUCAUUGUUGGGGCCGGGUCAAAAUUCAUUUAUUGCCCCAAACUCAGCCACUGAUUUCUCGGAAAAAAGAAUUGCCUUUGGAAGACUACUGGCAGUCCUGUUCACCAGCAUCCUGGAAGUUCUUAUAAUCAAUUACAUAAACACGUUACCUCGGUAUCACGUUGCAAUAACCAGCAUCACAGACCAUUCUCUUUCCAAGAAUACAUUGUUUUAUCGUGUAUCAAGAAUUUUUUGUGCUUGUUCAUUGGUUAUGUAGAUCUUAAAUAUGCAGGAAAAAAAUGAGCUUCACAUUUGUUGUGCCAAACAUAGAAUCAGUAUAUAUUUUUGUGGCAAAAGCCAAAAUUCCACAUGGGUAAAGUUGUGUAGUUCUUAAUGCUUUUUAUUAAAAUUUUAUAGUGACCCCUCCAAGUAUUGGCAGAACUGUAGUGUAUUGGUGUUUCAUGUGGCUGAGAUUGAAAAGAAUAUUAUUCUCAUCAAUGUAUAUUCUGUACUUCAUGCAAAAAACAAGGUGAGCCACACUGACAUUUCCUGUAAUUAUGGCCAACUUUAGCUUAGCAUGAAAUGGUUUAAAAGUUUGCUUGUGUUGUUUGUUGUGGGUUCUCACUUCUCAGCUUAGUUUUGCUUAGAAAAAUCAUAUGUUGUACUAAGGGGUGUGAUAAGGUGGGGCGAGCCCCAUCACAGACCUCUUUACCUUUUCGUAUGGGUGCUCAGGGUGCCAUGAGCCCUCACUGGCUUCAUUGGAAAGGGAACAUAUUCACAAAGUGUGAUGUCAUCAGCAUGUAGGCUUUUUGGUGUGCAUCAGACAAUAACUUGGCAAUGGAGAUUGGAAAAAAAUGUCUGUUAAUCUUUUGUAGAAAGUAGUGAUUAAUAGAUUACUGCUGAACGUAGUAGAGUGAUGCCUAGAUCAGGAGGCAGUUUCAUCGCUCUGCUUAUCACAGAAUUAUACGCUUAGCAUUACAAUCCUGUGCUUACUGCACCAGCACACAAAUGCUGAGCUGACGUGACCUAAACAUCCACAGUUACAGGGUGUACCGGUAAGCUUGCACUUUAGUCCAAAUUCCCUGCUAACCCAUGCAUUUUGCUGACGGUAAGCACAGCAUUUUUUUUGGGGGGGGGCAGAAGUUGGCUAAGAUUAUCCUCGUACAAAGUUGAGCAGAGCUAUGGAAUGGGUUCUCAUUUGUUAGGAUUUCUCUCUUGUGAGGGACUAGUUAGAGACCAUUAGAGGGCAGCAGACAUGCUGGUCAUGUUCAUGUGAGCUGUGAAGUACUUUAUUCUUACGUACUAAGACUCUGUGGGAAUUCAUUUCAGAAGAAAUCUCACUUUUGUUUUUCUAUGAGCCUGCCAAAUGUGUACCACUGCAAUGUGCACCUACUGCUCAUAAAAAAGGUCUGGAAUGUUUUGAAGAUGUCAAAGCACAUUAUAUUAAGAUGUGCAAAAUUACAUCAUAAAUUUGAGGUUUUUAAUUUCCCAGGGACUCUGUGUGUUUGACGUUAUGUUUUGGGAGAGAGCUGAACCAAAACAAAUUGGGGGAGGGGGGGUUAGUGCCACCAAAUGUGUAGCCUUUUAAGGCCUCGUUUUGAAAAAAUCACUUGUUAGUUUUCCAAAACAAAGCAUUUGUUUUGUCCCUCCCCUCAUCCACCAGUGGUUAUGGACCAGUGGUUAUGGACCAGUGGUUAUGGACCAGUGGUUAUGGACCAGUGGUGAUGGACCAGUGGUUAUGGACCAGUGGUUAUGGACCAGUGGUUAUGAACCAGUGGUUAUGGACCAGUGGUUAUGGACCAGUGGUUAUGGACCAGUGGUUAUGGACCAGCGGUUAUGGACCAGCGGUUAUGGACCAGUGGUUAUGGACCAGUGGUUAUGGACCAGCGGUUAUGGACCAGUGGUUAUGGACCAGUGGUUUAUGGGUUGCUUCAGCAUCUGUAGUUCAAAUUGCUCUCAUUUGCUGAAAUCAUUAAGAGAAUGGAGCACAUGUACAUUUUGAUAUUUUUGAUGAGUAUGUUCUCAUCGCUGUCUUUGAUGAGUAUGUUCUCGUCGCUGUCUUUGAUGAGUAU